AGUGGGGAAUCUUGGACAAUGGGCGAAAGCCUGAUCCAGCCAUGCCGCGUGGAUGAUGAAGGCCCUAGGGUUGUAAAAUCCUUUCGUUGGGGACGAUAAUGACGGUACCCAAAGAAGAAGCUCCGGCUAACUUCGUGCCAGCAGCCGCGGUAAUACGAAGGGGGCUAGCGUUGUUCGGAUUUACUGGGCGUAAAGCGCGUGUAGGCGGACUUGUAAGUUGGGGGUGAAAUCCCGAGGCUCAACCUCGGAACUGCCUCCAAAACUACAAGUCUGGACUCAAGCAGAGGCAAGUGGAAUUGCGAGUGUAGAGGUGAAAUUCGUAGAUAUUCGCAGGAACACCAGUGGCGAAGGCGACUUGCUGGGCUUGUAGUGACGCUGAGACGCGAAAGCGUGGGGAGCAAA
rnacentral:rRNA from 1 species